CAGCCGCCGCGGUAAUACGAAGGGGGCUAGCGUUGCUCGGAAUCACUGGGCGUAAAGGGUGCGUAGGCGGGUCUUUAAGUCAGGGGUGAAAUCCUGGAGCUCAACUCCAGAACUGCCUUUGAUACUGAAGAUCUUGAGUUCGGGAGAGGUGAGUGGAACUGCGAGUGUAGAGGUGAAAUUCGUAGAUAUUCGCAAGAACACCAGUGACGAAGGCGGCUCACUGGCCCGAUACUGACGCUGAGGCACGAAAGCGUGGGGAGCAAACAGGAUUAGAUAUCCCGGUAGUCCCUGUCUCUUAUAC
rnacentral:rRNA from 1 species